AGUGAACGCUGGCGGUAGGCCUAACACAUGCAAGUCGAACGGCAGCGCAGUAAGAGCUUGCUCUUACGGGUGGCGAGUGGCGGACGGGUGAGGAAUACAUCGGAAUCUACUUUUUCGUGGGGGAUAACGUAGGGAAACUUACGCUAAUACCGCAUACGACCUACGGGUGAAAGCAGGGGAUCUUCGGACCUUGCGCGAUUGAAUGAGCCGAUGUCGGAUUAGCUAGUUGGCGGGGUAAAGGCCCACCAAGGCGACGAUCCGUAGCUGGUCUGAGAGGAUGAUCAGCCACACUGGAACUGAGACACGGUCCAGACUCCUACGGGAGGCAGAGGUGGGGAAUAUUGGACAAUGGGCGCAAGCCUGAGCCAGCCAUACCGCGUGGGUGAAGAAGGCCUUCGGGUGGUAAAGCCCUUUUGUUGGGAAAGAAAAGCAGCAGGUUAAUACCCCGCUGUUCGGACGGUACCCAAAGAAUAAACACCGGCGAACUUCGU
rnacentral:rRNA from 1 species